UACGUAGGGUGCAAGCGUUGUCCGGAAUUAUUGGGCGUAAAGAGCUCGUAGGCGGUUUGUCACGUCGGCUGUGAAACCCUGGGGCUCAACCCCGGGCCUGCAGCCGAUACGGGCUGACUAGAAUUCGGUAGGGGAGUCUGGAAUUCCUGGUGUAGCGGUGAAAUGCGCAGAUAUCAGGAGGAACACCGGUGGCGAAGGCGGGACUCUGGGCCGAUAUUGACGCUGAGGAGCGAAAGCGUGGGGAGCGAACAGGAUUAGAUACCCUGGUAGUCCACGCCGUAAACGGUGGGCGCUAGGUGUGGGCCUCAUUCCACGAGGUCUGUGCCGCAGCUAACGCAUUAAGCGCCCCGCCUGGGGAGUACGGCCGCAAGGCUAAA
rnacentral:rRNA from 1 species